GAUGAACGCUAGCGGCAGGCCUAACACAUGCAAGUCGAGGGGUAACAGAGAGAAGCUUGCUUUUUUGCUGACGACCGGCGCACGGGUGCGUAACGCGUAUACAAUCUACCUUUUGCUGGGGGAUAGCCUUUGGAAACGAAGAUUAAUACCCCAUAGUAUAUAAGAUCCGCCUGGGUUUUAUAUUAAAGGUUACGGCAAAAGAUGAGUAUGCGUCCUAUUAGCUAGAUGGAGUGGUAACGGCACCCCAUGGCAACGAUAGGUAGGGGCCCUGAGAGGGGGAUCCCCCACACUGGUACUGAGACACGGACCAG
rnacentral:rRNA from 1 species